rnacentral:rRNA from 1 species
UUUCUCCGUAGGGGAACUUGCGGAGGGAUCAUUACACAAAUAUGAAGGCGGGCUGGAACCUCUCGGGGUUACAGCCUUGCUGAAUUAUUCACCCUUGUCUUUUGCGUACUUCUUGUUUCCUUGGUGGGUUCGCCCACCACUAGGACAAACAUAAACCUUUUGUAAUUGCAAUCAGCGUCAGUAACAAAUUAAUAAUUACAACUUUCAACAACGGAUCUCUUGGUUCUGGCAUCGAUGAAGAACGCAGCGAAAUGCGAUAAGUAGUGUGAAUUGCAGAAUUCAGUGAAUCAUCGAAUCUUUGAACGCACAUUGCGCCCUUUGGUAUUCCAAAGGGCAUGCCUGUUCGAGCGUCAUUUGUACCCUCAAGCUUUGCUUGGUGUUGGGCGUCUUGUCUCUAGCUUUGCUGGAGACUCGCCUUAAAGUAAUUGGCAGCCGGCCUACUGGUUUCGGAGCGCAGCACAAGUCGCACUCUCUAUCAGCAAAGGUCUAGCAUCCAUUAAGCCUUUUUUUCAACUUUUGACCUCGGAUCAGGUAGGGAUACCCGCUGAACUUAAGCAUAUCAAUAAGCGGAGGAAA